ACAGGUUUUCCUAACAGUAUUGUCCAGCAUGAUGCUGCCACCACUUAGCUGGUUUGGAAGGUUUCCAAGGUGCACAGAGAGGGACAAACAUCAGUGGUUGGACAAGCCAGCUGUGUUAAGAGAUGUAAAUUCUCUGCAGACAAAGGCCCUCCAGUGAUUUCAGCAUGCAAAAUAUAGACCAUCAUCAUAAAGCCUGGACACAACCUGAAAGAACGAGGGGAAAAAAGCAACGCUUUGCAUGGAAAUCACCCCGUGGAGCUGGAUCACAUAAUUUUUAAUGCAUUCAAAGAUCAGAGUAAUAAAUUAUUUUAUCCUC